AUUGCGUCAACAUGAUACAGGUUUAUUGCGUCAACAUGAUACAGGUUUAUUGCGUCAACAUGAUACAGGUUUAUUGCGUCAACAUGAUACGGGUUUAUUGGGUCAACAUGAUACAGGUUUAUUGCGUCAACAUGAUACAGGUUUAUUGCGUCAACAUGAUACAGGUUUAUUGCGUCAACAUGAUACGGGUUUAUUGCGUCAACAUGAUACAGGUAUAUUGCGUCAACAUGAUACAGGUUUAUUGCGUCAACAUGAUACAGGUUUAUUGCGUCAACAUGAUACAGGUAUAUUGCGUCAACAUGAUACGGGUUUAUUGGGUCAACAUGAUACGGGUUUAUUGCGUCAACAUGAUACAGGUUUAUUGCGUCAACAUGAUACAGGUUUAUUGGGUCAACAUGAUACAGGUUUAUUGGGUCAACAUGAUACAGGUUUAUUGGGUCAACAUGAUACAGGUUUAUUGGGUCAACAUGAUACAGGUUUAUUGCGUCAACAUGAUACAGGUUUAUUGGGUCAACAUGAUACAGGUUUAUUGGGUCAACAUGAUACAGGUUUAUUGGGUCAACAUGAUACAGGUUUAUUGCG